UCCCAGUGGUGCCAGAUUCAGAACUGG
rnacentral:piRNA from 1 species